rnacentral:rRNA from 1 species
GAGAGAGACAUGCGCGCAUAUCAAUAAGCGGAGGAAAAGAAACUAACAAGGAUUCCCUUAGUAACGGCGAGUGAAGCGGGAAGAGCUCAAAUUUGAAAUCUUCAAGGUUUUACCUUGACGAAUUGUAGUUUAAAGAAGUGUUUUCUGCUGAAGUUUUGGUAAAAGUUCUUUGGAAUAGGACAUCAUAGAGGGUGAGAAUCCCGUAUUUGACCAUUAUUUUCAGCUUUGUGAUACACUUUCAAAGAGUCGGAUUGUUUGGGAAUGCAGUCCAAAAUGGGUGGUAAAUUUCAUCUAAAGCUAAAUAUUGGCGAGAGACCGAUAGCGAACAAGUACCGUGAGGGAAAGAUGAAAAGAACUUUGAAAAGAGAGUUAAACAGUACGUGAAAUUGUCAAAAGGGAAGCGUUUGACACCAGUGUUGUUUUCUCGAAAAUCAAUUAAAAAUGGCUCGAUUUUGUAUUGCUUGAGACCUUAAAAGCUCACUGUACAUUUUUCGUGUCUUUUUUAAUGCACUUUUCGUUUAACAAGUCAACAUCAGUUUCUUUUGCUGUAAAAGGGUCAUUGGAAGGUGGCUUUCUUUUCGGAGAAAGUGUUUAUAGCCUUUGGCCUCUGCAAUCGGAGAGACUGAGGUCUGCAGCGUAGACUCUUCGGGGUUAGAUACAUUUGUGCUAAGUUAUAGCUUUUUAUAGACAACUUGUUGACUAUAAUUAGUCUUGUAGCUUACUCGCUUAUGCUAUUUUACCUACGCUUAGGAUGUUGAGUCGUAGAGCACGCAG